ensembl:lncRNA
ACAUAUCGUCGCUGUCCGAUGAAAACCGCGUAUGUCCAUUUUUGCCGAUUUUGAGAUUUUACGAUGAUAGUUAUGUCCAGGUUCAUUUCCGUAUACAGUAUGCGUCAUGAACCUAAUUGACCAAUGAAAAGUUGUGAAACACGUCAUCUGAUUUUCAAGUAUAUCCAUUUGGUGUCAAAGCUGUCAGUCCCGCCGCGUAUCUCCCGCCCUGUGGAGUCAUCUCAUUAGCGUCUCUGGAAGCGCAUCAUCGGGUAGCCGAAUAACACUUUGAAGACUCACUUGAACACGAUCCUGAAAAUGACCCGGAAUACACACCUGUCAAUGAAGAUGCUGUUGAUGUUGAUGUUGCUGUUGACCGGGGAAGGUCAAGAAAGAGGGCCAACCCAGACGCUUGGAAGGGUAACAUUCAGAAAAGGAGAAGAAUGAGGGGCCAAUCAUAUCUUGGACGAAAAAAAAAUGAAUUCAUCAACAUAGAAGAAAGAAAAAUGGAGGGGCGGUGCCUGGCUGAGGCCUGCCGGAAAUCCAGCAAACUACACUGCACCGAAAUCGAUGAAGGGAAGAGGGAAAAAAUAUUCAAGUAUUUUUGGGGGAAAUUGGACUGGAAAGAAAGGAAAAUCUAUGUGAAGUCACUGGUGGAGGUGAGUGAUGUCAAGCGGCGCCGGACAGAAGCGGUUCAGUCUCGGAGGUCAGCAUCUCUCUGUUGUUUUUUAUGUGUUGAUGGUAAAAGGCUCAGAGUUUGUCAGCGGAUGUUCCUGUCGACCCUUGGCAUCAAGCAGUGGAGUGUUCUAAAAUGGGUUGGAAGAAGAGAUGAAAGUCCUGAGAAGACGGCAAGAGUGAGGGUGAGGACAGAGGAGCGGGACUUCCUAAAGUCCUUUCUUCUUGAACUGCCGAAAGUACCAUCGCACUACUGUAGGUCCUCCUCUUCCAAGAUGUACCUGGAGCCUUUAUUCAAAUCAAUCAAUCAUCUCCACUCACAAUAUAAGCAGGCAUGUGCAGCCAACGGCAUCCAGGCUCUGUCAAGACAAGUGUUCAGUAACACCUUUAAAGAAUUAAAUCUGUCAUUGUUCCAUCCAAAAAAAGAUCAGUGUGACACUUGCUGUGCCUUCAAAGCCGGGAACAUCGAGGCUGCUGUGUGGGAGGAACACUGCGUUAAGAAGGACGAGGCACGAGCAGAAAAGGAUAGGGACAAGCAACUUGCAAAUAACACCACCUUGGUUGCAUGCAUGGAUCUGCAGGGCCUUCUCCUCUGCCCAAAGCUUCAAGCGUCUGCCCUCUAUUUCAAAAUGAAGCUGAGUGUCCAUAAUUUUACCAUCUACAAUAUGGCAUCACAUGAAGCGACAAAUUACCUUUGGCAUGAGGGUGAGGGGGGGGUCUCUGCCAAUGAGUUUGCCUCCUGCAUUGUGGACUAUCUUGAAACACACCUCACUUACACUGAAUUCAUUCUUUGGAGUGAUGGGUGUGGUUAUCAAAACCGAAACCUGGUCCUGAGCAAUGCCCUCUUAAAGUUUGCCACUGAAAGAAAAAAAAAAGCAAGUGACGCAGAAGUACCUUCAAAGAGGCCACACACAGAUGGAAUGUGACUCUGUGCACAGUGUGAUCGAAAGAAAGCUAAGGAACCGAGAUGUACAUGUUCCAGCUGAGUAUGCUGCAGU